CGGCUCAUCGCAUCCUGGGGCUGAAGCAGGUCCCAAGGGUCCGGCUGUUCGCCGGUUAAUAGCGGUACGUGAGCUGGGUUCAGAACGUCGUGAGACAGUUCGGUCCCUAUCUGAUGUGGGCGCAGGAUAUUUGAAGGAAGCUGUCCCUAGUACGAGAGGACCGGGAUGGCGGCACCUCCGGUGUUCCAGUUGUCCUGCCAAGGGCAACGCUGGGUAGCUGUGUGCCGAAGGGAUAACCGCUGAAAGCAUCUAAGUGGGAAGCCCCUCCUAAGAUAAGAUAUCCCGGGCCGCAAGGUCCCUAAAGGUCACUUGGAGACUACGAGUUUGAUAGGCCGGAUGUGUAAGUCCAGUAAUGGAUUGAGCUUACCGGUACUAAUUGACCGUGCGGCUUGACCAUA
rnacentral:rRNA from 1 species